rnacentral:tmRNA from 1 species
UCUGGAUUCGACGGGAUUUGCGAAACCCAAGGUGCAUGCCGAGGGGCGGUUGGCCUCGUAAAAAGCCGCAAAAAAAUAGUCGCAAACGACGAAACCUACGCUUUAGCAGCUUAAUAACCUGCUUAGAGCCCUCUCUCCCUAGCCUCCGCUCUUAGGACGGGGAUCAAGAGAGGUCAAACCCAAAAGAGAUCGCGCGGAUGCCCUGCCUGGGGUUGAAGCGUUAAAACGAAUCAGGCUAGUCUGGUAGUGGCGUGUCCGUCCGCAGGUGCCAGGCGAAUGUAAAGACUGACUAAGCAUGUAGAGA